rnacentral:sRNA from 1 species
UUUUUUUUCCCCUUCCUUCAUCUCCUGGCCUCGGAUAAGAUAAGGCUUGGGGUAUGCACGAAAUAAUCGAAGUGAUUGAUUAGACCUGGCAUGGCUUGGUUGGGCUGGAGAAAGAUCGGGGCGCGCUGGAAACCCCGCGUGAAGAUGAAAUGACUUUUUCGAAAGACUUAUCUUUCUGCAGGCUCGCCUCUGAGCUUUGUCUCCUUGGAGCCACCUCACUUAGACAGCUUCGGAUGUGGAUGCAGAUUUGAACCAUGUUGCGUCCCCAGGGACUGCUAUGGCUCCCUUUGUUAUUCACCUCUGUCUGUGUCAUGUUAAACUCCAAUGUUCUUCUGUGGAUAACUGCUCUUGCCAUCAAGUUCACCCUCAUUGACAGCCAAGCACAGUAUCCAGUUGUCAACACAAAUUAUGGUAAAAUCCAGGGCCUAAGAACACCAUUACCCAGUGAGAUCUUGGGUCCAGUGGAGCAGUACUUAGGGGUCCCCUAUGCCUCACCCCCAACUGGAGAGAGGCGGUUUCAGCCCCCAGAAUCCCCAUCCUCCUGGACUGGCAUCCGAAAUGCUACUCAGUUUGCUGCUGUGUGCCCCCAGCACCUGGAUGAAAGAUUCUUAUUGCAUGACAUGCUGCCCAUCUGGUUUACCGCCAAUUUGGAUACUUUGAUGACCUAUGUUCAAGAUCAAAAUGAAGACUGCCUUUACUUAAACAUCUAUGUGCCCACGGAAGAUGGAACCAACAUAAAGAGAAACGCAGACGAUAUAACCAGUAAUGACCAUGGUGAAGAUGAAGAUAUUCAUGAACAGAACAGUAAGAAGCCAGUUAUGGUCUAUAUCCAUGGGGGAUCCUACAUGGAGGGAACCGGUAACAUGAUUGAUGGCAGCAUUUUGGCCAGCUAUGGGAACGUCAUCGUUAUCACCAUUAACUACCGUCUGGGAAUACUAGCACAAAACACCCUGGCUCAUGGAAACUGCAAGCAUCGUUGUCAGCUGCACCUGCAGGCACCAUGGGAUUGCAAGUCAGCAUACCCUUUCAGAAAUGAGGAUGAAAUUAGAGAUGGAGUGUUGCUCUGUCACCCAGGCUGAAGUGCAGUGGCAUGAUCUUGGCUCACUGCAACCUCUGCUUCCCAGGUUCAGGCAAUUCUUCUGCCUUAGCAUCCUGAGUAGCUGAAAUUACAGGGUUUUUAAGUACCGGUGACCAGGCAGCAAAAGGCAACUAUGGGCUCCUGGAUCAGAUUCAAGCACUGCGGUGGAUUGAGGAGAAUGUCGGAGCCUUUGGCGGGGACCCCAAGAGAGUGACUAUCUUUGGCUCAGGGGCUGGGGCCUCCUGUGUCAGCCUGUUGACCCUGUCCCACUACUCAGAAGGUCUCUUCCAGAAGGCCAUCAUUCAGAGCGGCACCGCCCUGUCCAGCUGGGCAGUGAACUACCAGCCGGCCAAGUACACUCGGAUAUUGGCAGACAAGGUCGGCUGCAACAUGCUGGACACUACGGACAUGGUAGAAUGUCUGAAGAACAAGAACUACAAGGAGCUCAUCCAGCAGACCAUCACCCCGGCCACCUACCACAUAGCCUUCGGGCCGGUGAUCGACGGUGACGUCAUCCCAGACGACCCCCAGAUCCUGAUGGAGCAAGGCGAGUUCCUCAAUUACGACAUCAUGCUGGGUGUCAACCAAGGGGAAGGCCUGAAGUUCGUGGACGGCAUCGUGGAUAACGAGGACGGUGUGACGCCCAACGACUUUGACUUCUCCGUGUCCAACUUCGUGGACAACCUUUACGGCUACCCUGAAGGGAAAGACAUUUUGCGGGAGACUAUCAAGUUCAUGUACACAGACUGGGCCGAUAAGGAAAACCCGGAGACGCGGCGGAAAACCCUGGUGGCUCUCUUUACUGACCAUCAGUGGGGGGCCCCCGCCGUGGCCACCGCCGACCUGCACGCGCAGUACGGCUCCCCCACCUACUUCUAUGCCUUCUAUCAUCACUGCCAAAGCGAAAUGAAGCCCAGCUGGGCAGAUUCGGCCCAUGGCGAUGAAGUCCCCUAUGUCUUCGGCAUCCCCAUGAUCGGUCCCACCGAGCUCUUCCGUUGUAAUUUCUCCAAGAACGACGUCAUGCUCAGCGCCGUGGUCAUGACCUACUGGACGAACUUCGCCAAAACUGGUGAUCCAAACCAACCAGUUCCUCAGGAUACCAAGUUCAUUCAUACAAAACCCAAUCGCUUUCAAGAAGUGGCCUGGUCCAAGUAUAAUCCCAAAGACCAACUCUAUCUGCAUAUUGGGUUGAAACCCAGAGUGAGAGAUCACUACCGGGCAACGAAAGUGGCUUUCUGGUUGGAACUCGUUCCUCAUUUGCACAACUUGAACGAGAUAUUCCAGUAUGUUUCAACAACCACAAAGGUUCCUCCACCAGACAUGACAUCAUUUCCCUAUGGCACCCGGCGAUCUCCCGCCAAGAUAUGGCCAACCACCAAACGCCCAGCAAUCACUCCUGCCAACAAUCCCAAACACUCUAAGGACCCUCACAAAACAGGGCCCGAGGACACAACUGUCCUCAUUGAAACCAAACGAGAUUAUUCCACCGACUUAAGUGUCACCAUUGCCGUCGGGGCGUCGCUCCUCUUCCUCAACAUCUUAGCCUUUGCGGCGCUGUACUACAAAAAGGACAAGAGGCGCCAUGAGACUCACAGGCGCCCCAGUCCCCAGAGAAACACCACAAAUGAUAUCCCUCACAUCCAGAACGAAGAGAUCAUGUCUCUGCAGAUGAAGCAGCUGGAACACGAUCACGAGUGUGAGUCGCUGCAGGCACACGACGCGCUGAGGCUCACCUGCCCUCCAGACUACACCCUCACGCUGCGCCGGUCGCCAGAUGACAUCCCACUUAUGACGCCAAACACCAUCACCAUGAUUCCAAACACACUGACGGGGAUGCAGCCUUUGCACACUUUUAACACCUUCAGUGGAGGACAAAACAGUACAAAUUUACCCCACGGACAUUCCACCACUAGAGUAUAGCUUUGCCCUAUUUCCCUUCCUAUCCCUCUGCCCCUACUGCUCAGCAAUGUAAAAGAGACAAAUAAGGAGAAAGAAAAUCUCCAAACCAGGAAUGUUUUUGUGCCACUGACUUUAGAUAAAAAUGCAAAAGGGCAGUCAUCCUGUCCCAGCAGACCCUUCUCAUUGGCAUUUUCCAGUAUUGUGAGAUCAAUUUCUGACCAUAUGAAAUGUGAAAAGUAUAUGUUUCUGUUACAAUACUGCUUUAAGAUCUAAACCAUGCCAACAGAUGUUUCGUGUGACUAGGACAUCACCAUUUCAAGGAACUGUGUGUUUCCAACAUCAUGGUAGCAGCACACACUUCCAAAGCUCAGCCAGGGACACUUAAUAUUUUUUAAUUACAAUGGAGAUUUAAACAUUUUUAUGUGGGCUACACAAUGGAUGGCUCUUCUUAAGUGAAGAAAGACUCUAUGGGCUUUUACACAGCACAUGGAGCUGUAAUCCAGAAAGAAGGAAAUGCAGAAUUUUAUUAUCAAAGUAAGCGAAUUGACUGUGCAGAAAAAUUGUAGGGUUCUGUGGAAGGAGGUAUUCUGCCAGCCUGAACUAUAUUUAAGAAACUUCGUAAAAAAUAAAAAUGUAUAUAGCUGUGAGCUCAAACAAAAACUGCAGACAAACAAAAAAGAGAAAAGCUUUUAUUUGUGUUUUCAGUUUGAAAGAACUUUUAGCAAGGUUGUGCUUUCAAACACAUAUUAGUCCUACCACCUUAGUUCCUCUACAGCAAAAGAGGCUUUUCUUCUUAAUUACAUGUAAACAAAGACAUGGGAUUUUCUGACGUAAGAUUUUCAUUUGUAGGAAUAUGUGAUGUCAAAUGGAAGACUCAGAAGUUUUGUGUGGCCUAUUUCUCCCUGUCAGGUUGCACAGAUGCAUGUAGAGCAUUCUUAGGAGACCAUUGUUUUAGAAAACUUUGAUUUGUACAUGUUAGUUUUCAUGAAAUUGCAACACAGAGAUAGGUCCUAAAAGUGGAAUCUAUUUAAAACUUGUUGAAUUAGACACACACACACAGACACACACAAAGAAUCAGCAGAGAAAACAAAAUACAAGUCCUGUUCUGUAGUUCUUGCCCUUUGAAUAUAUUUGGGAAGAGUUGCUUCCUAUUUCAGGACCCUGCCAAAAAAGAAGAAAGCUUGCCUUUGGUGGGGCUGUGCCCCUUGGAGUAAAUACAGCUCUGUGUUCCCUAGCAGCUGCCGGAGGAUUUGGCUGAUGAAGUACCUGCUCAGCUUAGCUAAUCAGAUUAAAGGAAGACAUGUGUGUCUUUUGUUUAAGCACCUAGUCCCUUAUUUAUCAGUAAACAGGUUUUUAAAAAUCGUUUAUGUCAUUUAUAGGAUAAAACAUAUGCUUGUCUGAAAAUAUCACCUUUUGUGGAUUUAUCUGACCACCAAAUAACAGAUAUUAAGAAGAAUGGGGGGAAAAGGAUAGAACAUUAAAACUGCUUUGUAUAGGUUUUGGGGGAAAUUAGGAUAUCUUCACUGACAAGACACUGAAUGGAAUUUAUUCACCCAUUUUAAAUUGGUUACUUGGGGAUCAGAGAUUUGUCUCUCCAACAGCUUGUGAUUUUCUUUUUACUCAUUUUCAGAAAAGUUUGUAGUAUUACAAAGCAGCAGGAAACACAGUAGCAAUGGUUGCUCUAUAUUUUGUCUUUCGAAGAUUACUGCAUUACCAAGAAACAGUAGCCAAAGAUGUUUGAAGAUCAUGUCCCUUAGCUGCAUUUUGGGUUAUUCUAGAAAUCCAAUGUUAAAUGCCUCUACUAAAGUGGGGAUUCCCCAUAAAAAUUGUCCAGCUACCUGACUCUUUUGCAAUAACAACUUUGAUUACUGAAUCCAUACACUCAAACUAUAGUGAUAUAUCAGUGUUUGGGAGUGACCUCUAGAAAAAAGAAAACUGUUUUUAGAAAUACAUAAAAUCACUUCCAAAUCCUGUUGCUUAUGUUGGGUUAAAUUUGAAGGCGAUUCUCUAUAUAUAAAUAUGUGAAAUAUUAUGAUCUGAACUUAGCACACAUGAAGCAACAUUUCUUUGCUACACAGAGGUGUCUUGGUAAGAUUUCAUUCCCAAUUCAUUUUUCAUAGAGCUAUGAUCAGGCAAUUUCUGCAAGCAAUGUAUGACCCCACCUGAGCAACCACAAAUAGGCUCUCCAUGAAACUGCAAAGGAACUGAUGUGUGGCAUCCAUGCUGGUUUUGUCUGUCUAUAAUAUGAAUUCAAGUAUCUGUUCAUAUUUCCAAUUGUCUCCUGCUAGCAAUAUGUACCACAACAUGACAGUCUUGUGACAUCUUAAGGGAAAGAAGAGUUCCUGUUAAAUGAAUAGCUUUAGCUUUUACAGGGGAUUAUGAUUAAAAGUGAUUUAGUACAUCUUACAUGAUAUCUCAUUUCUACAUGAAAAGAAGUUAUAGAAUCUUCAUAGAGUUCCAUGAGAAAAAUAUACUUGCUAUUUAU